AGGGAUUGCUCAACGCCAGCUUAUUACAAGAGAUGUGCUAGAUUGCCAACAAGAUUGGCAGUGAGUCCCUUGUGCUCGCAGACUAGAAGUCCUGCCCUAUGAGCAUUGCUGGAGAAUAUAAAUCUAACUUGAAGAAAAAAGUACCUGGAAUCAUAUUAACUGUAGAUAGAGAUGAAACAUGUGAUUUUAUGACAUAUUAAGAAGAGUAAAAUAAGAGACUUCUCAGCAAUAACUGAUUAGCUGUGUCCUGCCAUGCAAUGCAGUCUCUCUUGCUUUAUCUUUCCGUAUAGAGUAAUUUGAAGAAUUUAAAAACAAAGUUUAAAUUACACAAUGUAACAGAAUCUUAACAAGUAUGCUAUUCCUUUAUUUUUAUUAUGUUAUUUUCUUAGAUGGUUAAUAUUCCAUAUAGGUAUGAAUUAAGUAUUUAAUUAUGUAAGUUAUGUCUGAGAAUACCAGGGAGAAAUGAUUUAAGUAAUAUAUGUGUUGAAUAAUCCUGUAUGAAAUCCAUCUUUGCAGUUCUUUUCAAUAAUUUUAAAUACGUUUAUUCAGACUUUGUCUUUAAUUGCACUCAUUUGAAAUAUGAAUUCUAU